rnacentral:rRNA from 1 species
GAUGAACGCUAGCUACAGGCUUAACACAUGCAAGUCGCGGGACCGGCGCACGGUUGAGUAACGCGUAUCCAACCUGCCCUUCACCCCGGUAUAACCCGGCGCAAGUCGGACUAAUACCGUAUGGUGAAGGAUGGGGUUGCGUCCGAUUAGCUUGACGGCGGGGUAACGGCCCACCGUGGCUAUGAUCGGUAGGGGUUCUGAGAGGAAGGUCCCCGACACUGGAACUGAGACACGGUCCAGACUCCUACGGGAGGCAGCAGUGAGGAAUAUUGGUUAAUGGGCGUAAGCCUGAACCAGCCAAGUAGCGUGCAGGACGACGGCCUAUGGGUGGUAAACUGCUUUUAGGCGGGGAUAGGUACCGCAUGAAUAAGGACCGGCUAAUUCCGUGCCAGCAGCCGCGGUAAUAC